GAAGGAGAUUGGAUGCUCGUUGGUGAUGUUCCAUGGAGGAUACUUGUGAAGCAAGUAAAAGGAAGAAACAGAAGCUAGGUUGAUCUUAUUCAGUUUGUGAUGUUUCAUUGGUUCUUCUAAUGUUCUUUAAGGGUUUUUUUUUGGCUUGAUGUCUUUUGUUUUACUGUUGCUAUUACUAUGGAAGAGAAUGCUCUUUAUUUGUUUUACUACACUGUAAAUAUUUGAAGCUUGUCUAAUAUCAUUUUGUGGGUUUAGUUUAUGAGUUCA